rnacentral:rRNA from 1 species
ACUGCAAGUCGAGCGGACAGAAGGGAGCUUGCUCCCGGAUGUUAGCGGCGGACGGGUGAGUAACACGUGGGUAACCUGCCUGUAAGACUGGGAUAACUCCGGGAAACCGGAGCUAAUACCGGAUAGUUCCUUGAACCGCAUGGUUCAAGGAUGAAAGACGGUUUCGGCUGUCACUUACAGAUGGACCCGCGGCGCAUUAGCUAGUUGGUGGGGUAAUGGCUCACCAAGGCGACGAUGCGUAGCCGACCUGAGAGGGUGAUCGGCCACACUGGGACUGAGACACGGCCCAGACUCCUACGGGAGGCAGCAGUAGGGAAUCUUCCGCAAUGGACGAAAGUCUGACGGAGCAACGCCGCGUGAGUGAUGAAGGUUUUCGGAUCGUAAAGCUCUGUUGUUAGGGAAGAACAAGUGCGAGAGUAACUGCUCGCACCUUGACGGUACCUAACCAGAAAGCCACGGCUAACUACGUGCCAGCAGCCGCGGUAAUACGUAGGUGGCAAGCGUUGUCCGGAAUUAUUGGGCGUAAAGGGCUCGCAGGCGGUUUCUUAAGUCUGAUGUGAAAGCCCCCGGCUCAACCGGGGAGGGUCAUUGGAAACUGGGAAACUUGAGUGCAGAAGAUGAGAGUGGAAUUCCACGUGUAGCGGUGAAAUGCGUAGAGAUGUGGAGGAACACCAGUGGCGAAGGCGACUCUCUGGUCUGUAACUGACGCUGAGGAGCGAAAGUGUGGGGAGCGAAUAUGAUUAGAUACCCUGGUAGUCCACGACCGUA